rnacentral:rRNA from 1 species
GGAGGAAUUAGGCGGGGAAAGAAGACCCCUGUUGAGCUUGACUCUAGUCUGGCACUGUGAAGAGACACGAGAGGUGUAGCAUAAGUGGGAGACCCUCCAUSCUCCACAUGGUAAAGGGGGUGUCGCAAGUGAAAUACCACUACUUUCGUCGUUUCUUUACUUACUCGGUGAGGCGGAGAGAGGAGAAAAACUCACCUUUCUAGCCUUAAGUGUGGUGGCCGUCGUGUCCUGCACGAUCCGAUCCGAGGACACCGCCAGGUGGGGAGUUUGACUGGGGCGGUACAUCUGUCAAAAGCUAAACGCAGGUGUCCUAAGGCCGGCUCAGCGAGGACGGAAACCUCGCGUAGAGCAAAAGGGCAAAAGCCGGCUUGAUCUGGAUUUUCAGUACGACAUACAGACUGUGAAAACAUGGCCUAUCGCAUCCUCUUGCACUUUAGGAGUUUUAAGCAAGAGGUGUCAGAAAAGUUCACCACAGGG